CCGUCAGGCCGGAACAUGGAUAUCCGUAAAUUCUUUGGAGUUGUGAAUCCAGGGAAGAAGCCUGAGUGUGGCCUUGUGAGAAAGGAAAAAUCCCAGAAUAAAGAGAGGAAUGCAGGGGUAACGUCGACACUGAAGGAAAGCAAGGUGAAAACUCCAUCUCACGAAGGUG